UACGGAGGGCGCGAGCGUUGUCCGGAAUCACUGGGCGUAAAGGGCGCGUAGGCGGCGCGGGUAGUCAUCGGUGAAAGUUCAGGGCUCAACUCUGAAUCGGCCGGUGAUACUCUCGUGCUUGAGCACUGUAGAGGCAGGUGGAAUUCCGGGUGUAGCGGUGGAAUGCGUAGAGAUCCGGAAGAACACCGGUGGCGAAGGCGGCCUGCUGGGCAGUAGCUGACGCUGAUGCGCGACAGCGUGGGGAGCAAACAGG
rnacentral:rRNA from 1 species